GUCGGAGGUCGGGGUGGGGGGCGGGAAGUGGCAAAGGGGGAAGGGGUCUGAACAAUGCGCAGGGCUUGCGGUGAUUUCCCUGGGCCGGAAUCUCGACCUUGCUCCUCUACUGGAAAGCAGUCUGAUGUGAUUUUAAGUUGGGCCGGGACUUGUCCCUUAUGGGCUUUUUCCUCGGGAAGGUUUUCUGAGAUACCAAGCACGGAGCCUGCAGGCAGGGGAGCAACCGGUAGAAAUUUGGGGUCAGAGAAGUUACUUGUCUUGUCCAAGGAUGAAAUUCGAAUGCAGUGCUGGGUCCCGUUAUACCACGUCCCUCAACUGGAUUGCCAACAUCCUGGACAUCUUAGUGAAUCAGUCAUUCCCACAACACAAAAACCAGUCUAACAAAGUAUGGAUACAAAGAUGGUUAUAAAGUUGCUUGUAUGUACGGAACACACUGAAGAUAGCCUGUGCUCCACUGUGAAGAAACCAAAUCUAAUUAGAUGGUAGAGGAGAACUCAGCUAAGUUAAUCAAUAUAGAUAAGUAGCAAUGCUUCAGAUGUUGAAAAUAAAGGUUACGAUUCUAUGUGCAAAGAGGCCACCUGUAGAAGCUGGAAAUAUGUGCUGUAUCUUAACCUGAGUGGGAAGCUACGAAGACUCCUGGGGCUCCAGGGCCCAAAAAAUGCAGACUGUGAAAGAAAGCAGACUAAGCCUGCUGAGUUGUUAAAAAUUUGUUUAAUUUUUUUUUUAUGUUUGAGACGGAGUCUCACUUCAUCACCCAGGCUGGAGUGCAGUGGCACCGUGUUGGCUGACUGCAACCUCCGUCUCCUGGGUUCAAGCAAUUCUCUUGCCUCAGCCUCCCAAGUAGCUGGGAUUACAGGUGCCCACCACUACACCUGGCUAAUUUUUAUACUUAUAGUAGAGACGGGGUUUCACCAUGUUGGCCAGGCUGGUCUCGAACUUGUGACCUCAGGUGAUCCACCCUCCUUGGCCUCCCAAAAAUUUUGUUUAAUUUUUAAAAGGCUUUUCUGGUUCUCAUUGUAAAAGCAAUGGUCAUUGCAAUGGUUUCUGCAUGGUCAGUGCAGAAAAUUUGGAAAAUGGAGAAAAAAUAAAAAGAAUUCUCAAAUUAUUUAAACUUAUGAUUCCUAAUGAUAACCACAUAUGCACUUUGGUGUAUGGCUUAGUAGUUUUUUCCUAUGCAUGGAUAAAUAGAUUUUUUUUAAAGUGGAGAUAAUAUUGUACAUAUUAUAUGUAACCUAUUUUUUAAACCUAAUAAUUAGCCUUUUCUCAUGCUAUUAAUCUUUUUCUAUGGCAUAACUUUUAAAACUCUUUUUCAUGGGGAAUUUAAACUUAAAAGGUAGACAGAUUACAGGAAACAACAGAUGCUGGGGAGGACAUGGAGAAAUAGGAACGCUUUUACACUGUUGGGAGUGUAAAUUAGUUCAACCAUUGUGGAAGACGGUGUGGCGAUUCCUCAAAGAUCUAGAACCAGAAAUACCAUUUGACCCAACAAUCCCAUUACUGGGUAUAUACCCAAAGGAUUAUAAUUCAUUCUACUGUAAAGGCACAUGCACAUGUAUGUUUAUUAUGGCACUGUUCACAAUAGCAAAGACUUGGAACCAACCCAAAUGCCCAUCAAUGAUAGACUGGAUAAAGAAAAUGUGGCACAUAUACACCAUGGAAUGCUACACAGCCAUAAAAAAGGAUGAGUUCAUGUCCUUUGCAGGGACAUGGGUGAAGCUGGAAACCAUCAUUCUCAGCAAACUAACACAAGAACAGAAAACCAAACACUGUAUGUUCUUACUCAUAAGUGGGAGUUGAACAAUGAGAACAUAUGUACACAGGGAGGGGAAUAACACACACCGGGGCUUGUCAGUAAAUGGGGGGCUAGGGGAGGGAUAGCAUUAGGAGAAAUACCUAAUGUAUAUGAUGGGUUGAUGGGUGCAGCAAACCACCAUGGCACAUGUAUACCUAUGUAACAAACCUGCACGUUCUGUACAUGUAUCCCGGAACUCAAAGUAUAAUAAUAAUAAGUAGACAGAAUAUUGGAAUGCUCCUAUAUUACUGAUAGGAAUGUAAAAUGGUACAGCCAUUUUGGAAAACAGUUUGACAGUUUCUCAAAAUGCUAAAUACAGAGUUACCAUGUGACCCAGGAAUUUCACUCCUAAGUAUAUGCCCAAGAGAACUAAGGACGUAUUCAUGCAAAAAAAAAAAAAAAAAAGUGUACAUGAAUAUUUAUAGUAACCUCAAAUAGGAGACAACCCAAGUGUCCAUCAACCAAUGAAUGAAUAAACAAAAUGUAGCAUAGUAUAUCCUUACAAUGGAAUAUUUAUUCUACAAUAAAAGGAAGUGCUGAUACACACUGCAACAUGGAUGAACAUUAUGCUAUGUGAAAAAAGCCAAACACGAGAAGACACAUGGUUGUAUGAUUCCAUUUAUAUAAAAUGUCUGGAAUAAGCAAAUCCAUAGAGAUAGAAGGUAGACUAAUGCUUGCUGGCAGGGAGUGACUGCUAACGUCCCAAAUUAGAUAGUGCAGAUGUUUGUACAACUCUGUGAAACAUACUAAAAGUCACUUGUACACUUCAAAAGAGUAAGUCUUAUGGAAUGUGAAUUAAAGCUCAAUAAAACUCUUAUUAAAAAGUAGAUAAAAGGGUUAAUAAUCUCUCUACUGAACAAUUAUCCCCCAUAAUGAAUCCUGUUUCAUCUGUACUCCUACCCACCUUCUCCCCCAUAUUAUUUUAAAGUAGCAUAUUAUUUCAUUUAUAAAUAUUUCAGUAGUUUGUGUACUUAAAAAAUACAUAACCAUAAUAGUAUUAUCAUGCCUAAAAAAUUUAACGUGUAAUAAAAUAUUCAGUCAGUGCUCAACUUUCUAAUCAUGUUUUUAGACUGCUUAGCAUUUUGUUGUGGAGAUGGAUCAUAAUAUAUUUAACCAGUUCCUGUUGAUGAAGCUUGAGGUUAUUUCUAACUUUCCAACUGAUAAAUAGUGCUUCAAUAAACAUCCUUAUAUAUAAGUCUUUGUGUGCAUCUCUGUUUCCUUAGGAUAACUCCUUAGAAAUUGAAUUUAGAAUGAAAGUGUAUGAAUGAUCUCUAAGGCUCUAGAUAUUGCCAGAUUGGCUUCCAAUUUCUUGUGCUGUAGGUGUGUAGCAUUUAUAAAUGAACACAUAAGACUCUGAAAAAUCAAUUAGUUUACCAAAGAUCGUAGAGCUACUAAGUGGCUGAGCUUACGACUGACUGGCCCAAAGCCACUGCCAAUAGUGACUCACAUAGCCAUCAUUUGAUUUAUGGACCUUGUCAUGACAUCAGAAUUAUCUGUUGUAUUAUCACCCUGAGGCUCACAGACUUCCCAGAAGCCUUUGGUUUAGGGCACAAGUUGUCUUUCAUGAGCAUAGUGGUGUUUUAAGAGCUAUUUCCAAGGUAUUUCUUCCUUGUAACUUUGUUUUGUAAGAUGACCAAUGUCAGAUUAUAACGUGUUUUUUUUUUUUUCUUGCCUAAAACCUUAAAAACCUAAUAUGGUAGCUAUUUGGGGAUUAACAGUGACAUUCUUGUGGAGUGUAUCUAGGGGAUGUUUGUUUGUUUAUUUAUUUAUUUAUUUGUUUGUUUGAGAUGGAGUCUAGCUCUGUUACCCAGGCUGGAGUGCAGUGGGGCGAUCUCUGCUCACUGCAACCUCUGCCUCCUGGGUUCAGGCGAUUCUCCCGCCUCAGCCUCCUGAGUAGCUGGGAUUACAGGCGCUCGCCACCACGCCCAACUAAUUUUUGUAUUUUUAGUAGAGAUAAGGUUUAACUGUGUUGGCCAGGCUGGUCUCAAACCCCUGACCUCAGGUGAUCCGCCCGCCUCAGCUUCCCAAAGUGCUGGGAUUACCGGCGUGAGCCACUGAGCUUGGCUUGUUUACAUUUAAACUGUCAUUCUUUCUGGAAAAUUAUCCAGCAAGUGUGUUUGGAGGAUGUGUGGAAUCAGGCUCAAAGGUUUCAGUUUUUUAAGAAUUGGAGACAGCUGACUCUGUGAUGAUCAUAGAAGAUAGCAAGGUGAGCUACGGCCAUGAUAGAAUAGAGACUAUUCUCAAGCCUUAAUCUGCCAGACAAUUGCUAAAAUCAAAAUCUUAAGUUGUGCUUUCAGUUUUUCACAUAGGUAGAUAUUUUAAGAUUCUAAUGGAGAAAAUAGAAGAUAGAACAGGAAACCACCAGAGUAAAAAGCUCCGUAUUCUGGACUAUAAUCUACUUUCAACCUGGUUUAUAAGUAAGAAACUAUUAAAAUUGACACAACUUUAUGGUAGUUGGUCUUGCAGAGGGCAAUUUUCUUGAUUUACUACAGUUUAUAACCUAAUCCUCCAUUUAAAAUGCCUAUAAAUUAUUUAUGUCUAGGGUAAAAAUCCAGGGCUUCACAUGAAUAUGGUUUCAUCAUUUCUACCUCUAGGUAUUUUUUUUAAAGCUGCCUGUAAUCAAAUGAUAGCAGUGUGGUGGGUGGAACAGGUUGUAAGCAGUAAUUGCAAACUGUAUUUAAACAAUAAUAAUAAUAUUUAGCAUUUAUAGAGCACUUUAUAUCUUCAAAGUACUUGCAAACAUUAUCUAAUUAAAUACCCUCUCUGAUUAUAAUCUGGAUACAAAUGCACUUAAACUCAGGACAGGGUCAUGAGAAAAGUAUGCAUUUGAAAGUUGGUGCUAGCUAUGCUUUAAAAACCUAUACAAUGAUGGGAAAGUUAGAGUUCAGAUUCUGUUGGACUGUUUUUGUGCAUUUCAGUUCAGCCUGAUGGCAGAAUUAGAUCAUAUCUGCACUCGAUGACUCUGCUUGAUAACUUAUCACUGAAAUCUGAGUGUUGAUCAUCACACUGAUCCUUACAGUUGCUACAACACGAAUAACAUAAAUAAGCUUUAAAAUGAGGUCCCUCUCUACAUUUCAUGCCCUGGCUUCAGAUGAAACUGCCAUUAGUAAGUGAAAUGAAGUGGCAUAGUGCAAGGAAGAAUGGCUACGCAUUGUGGUUUAGUAAUGUCCAUCUGAGAGUAAUAGAUUUAACUGCACCGUAGGAUACAUCAUAAAGAAAUGCACUGGAGAAAUGAAACAUCUUUAGUUUGACUGUAUUAACUACUUCUUGCUGUUUUGGAUAUGUGUCUGUGUAUUGUCCCCUCGCACGUAUACCCUGUGUUGCCAAUUUAGAUGGUGUUUGGAGCAAGGACCUGUGCGGCUUACUCAGUAGGUAGUAGAGAGUUCUGCAGUUGGUAGAUUCUCAGUAAAUGUUAUCCUGCAUGUUGUGAUUUUCUAAAAGCUAGUUGACAGUUUAACUCCCUAAGUCAGCAGUUCUCAAAGUGGGAUCCUUGGACCAGCAGCUUCAGGAUCCUCUGUUAGGCCCUGCCUCUCUCAACUUUUUUUUUUUUUUUUUGGAGACAGGGUCUCACUCUGUCACCCAGGCUGGAGUCCAGUGGUGCGAUCUCAGCUCACUGCAGCUUCGACCUCCGGUUCUCAGGUGAUUCUCUCAUCUCAGCUCCUGGGGUAGCAAGUACUACAGGCAUGUGCCACCAUACCUGACUGAUUUUUGUAUUUUUUAUAGAGAAGGGCUUUCCUACGUGAUCUCGGAUUCCUAAGCUCAAGGGAUCUGCCUGCCUCAGCCUCUCAAAGUGCUAGGAUUACAGGCGUGAGCCACCAUGCCUGGGCUCGCUCAACUAUUGAAUCAGAAACUCUUAGGAUGGGGACCAGCAACUUUUGCGUUAAGAAGCCCUCCUAGUAAUUCAGAAGCAUGUGGGAGUCUGAGAACCACUGGCCUAAAUGUUUAAAAGAUAGUUUCCUUGGCUGGGCAUGGUGGCUCAUGCCUGUAAUCCCAGCACUUUGGGAGGCCAAGGUGGAAGCUUCACUUGAGCCCAGGAGUGUGAAAUCAGCCUGGGCAACAUGGCGAGACCAUAUCUCAAUAAAAUAAAAUAAAAUAAAAAAGAAAAGCAAAAUAUAUUCAUGGAAAUUUGGGUAUGCCUGAAAAUGUUGCAGAAUAGGAAAUAGUAAAUUAUUUAUGGUAAGUGCAACUUUUUCAUAAGGCAUAUGACCUCAGAGAAAUUGUGGACAGUACACAUUCUUAGGAGUAUGGAAGUUAAAAUUUUUUUACUAAUAUUUGCAUUUGAAUUGUUUGUAAGACUCAAAGAUACUUGAAAUUGAAAAGUCUACAACUUUCAAUUGAUAAUUCUGUACUUUGCAUUGUUCUUUGCAUUGACAUGUCUUUUUCUUUUUUUUUUUUUUUUUAGCAAGUUUAUUCAAGGUGCAGAAAAGCCCCACUCCCUUGAUCAACAAGAUGCAUCCUUCUGAUGUCGAUUUCCUGUUUUUCCCUAUAGGCCUGUAGGGAUUGAGUUUGAAGCCCCAGGAGGUGCUGACAUUUGCUUGGAAACUGAAAGAAAGAAUCCAUAUUCACAAAUUCUUUCAGCCCUACUUCUGUUAGAAGCCUAAAAUCUUCGAGUUAUUUAUUUUUUGAGACCUGGGAAAUGGAAUGUAUAUUUGGAAUCUAGACAGCAGGUUGAAGAUUUCCUUACUGGGAAAUCCCACAGACUUUCUUUGUAACAACAACUUGUAAGCAUCUCUUACCUAGCCACAAAAGUGUCCCAUGUUGCUAUUUAAUCCACAGUUCUUAGAUAAGCACAUUGCUUAUAUUGCAUGUCUGUUUAUAUGGAGGAAAAGUUGAUGGCAAGUAUGGUUGUUAAAGCAACUUUAUAUACAACUGAUAGUGAGCGUGCAUGAAAAUUUUAUACUCAUUGCUGGGGAAAAUGCUUUUAAAAAUGUAAAUUUGAAGACCUCCCCUCAUAGAAGAACUAUUUUGAAGGAAAAACCGAUGGUUAGACAAUCAUCAUCAGACUAGAUAUAAAAAAUACCUGGUUAAAGAUUAUUAGGUUUUUCCCAGUAUUGACACUUAGAGGGAUAGCUCCAGUUUUCUCAGAAGAGGUGUUAAUAUCAUUAAAGUAUCAGGGAAUUGUUCAAGCAUUUUAUUUUUAUUUUAUUUUUUGAGGCAGGGUCUUGCUCUGUUGCCCAGGCUGGAGUGCAGUGGCUCAAUCAUGGCUCACUGUAGCCUCAAACUUCUGGGUACAAGUGAUCCUCCCACUUCAGCCUCUUGAGCUGGGACUACAGGUGUGUGCUACCACACCCAGCUAAUUUUUUGAAAUUUUUUUUUUUUGUAGAGAUGGGGGGUCUCCCUAUGUUGCCCAGCGUGGUCUCAAACUCUUGGGCUCAGCCUCCCAAAAGUGCUGGGAUUACAGGUAGGAGCCAGUGUGCUGGGCCCUGUUCAAGCCUUUAAAUCGGGAAUACUAACUGCUCUAGAUGGGACAAUGAAUGACAUCAUUUGAAAACUUCCGUCUGGAACUAAGUUUGGAGCAGUUUCCUUUCUAGUGGUGGUGAAAUCAUAGACUCUGUCUAAGAAAGCUACAAAUUUGAAAUGGCUUUUUCACAGCCUGUUUAUCUGAUUCCUCCAACGCUUGAGAUAAUAUAUGUUGCAAUUGGCGUGGUUGAAAGGGCCCUUUGAGUUUGGGAGUGCUGCGAUUUUUCAAUUGAGCUCCAAGACUUUCAGAGCAUGGAUACUCUGGGUAGCAGUGGAACCAGGUGGUUCUGUUGCUGGUGUCUUACUCUGGAAUGGUUGACAGAGUCAAAACUAAGCAUUUGCUCUUCCUAAAAGGCCUCUGCUUCUUCUGUCUUCUUUAAAUUGGUAGCUCCAGCACCAGUUAGAGAGUACUCAGUUUUCUUUCCAUGCAAACAAAUAAACAAAUAAAGCGCUGUAGUGCUUUCUAGAGCCAAUACCCAGAUGCUAUUCAGGGAAAGAACAUUGCACAGACACUCUGUUGUCUGAACAAUAUGUAUAUUCUCUCUGGGAGUAUUUUAAAGAUGUAACUUGUGCUGGUAUUGUAGCCAUCAUUUCUUGAAUAUAAACAGCUUUUAUUUUGGGAGAAGAACAGAUGUAAAAGUGUGAAAUAUAGAAGUUUACACAUUUUGGGGGAGGGGGAAAGGGAAGAGGAACAGUAUUUCUUUAAAAUCAUGGUAAACCAAUCUUAGUUUUUCCUUUGUUUUCUUUGAGUGACUGAAAAUUAGCAUGGGAAAUCUGCUGGAACCUGACCAGCUGGGUACCUAAACCUCCAUUUCACUGAUUGCACCAGAAAAAGUGCCAGUGGAUAAUUAUUAUAGGUCCUCAUCACUGGAAACAAAAAGGGUCCUUCUUCAGGAGGAAGCCUCUCUAUGAAGAGAGGAAAUCGUAGACAUUCAGUGAAAUAUGUAUGAUACUUAAAAUAAAUCUUAGAGAGAUACAGAGAUCCGAGCCCCAGAUACAGGGUUUGCUUUCUAGAUUGAAAGAGUCUGUUGAAGGGGUUUGAAGGCUGGGUGUCCCUCUGUGAUCUCUGAACCAAAGCUCUUGCCAGUUCAGUCCCCCAACCCCCUUUAAUUAGUGUGUAUGUUUGCAAAGAGUACCUGGGGGUAUUCAAAGCAGCAGGGACAUUCCUGUGACUAUUAAGUUCUCUGUCCCUUUGAGGCCAGGUCUGUUUCUUUUCUUUUCUGGAAGCAAGGUCUCUUGUAUCUCAUCACUUGAUACAAUGCAAGUUGCAUCAGAUUUAAAAAAAUAAUCCCCUGUCCUUCUUUCCUGUUUCCUCCGUGUGGCUGCUGCCUUCUAUAAGUUGCUGCUGGUUUGCAGGAUUCACAAUCAGGAUUUUGUCCCUGUGGAGAUUUUGUUUAGUUUGCAAGGAACAUUUUUAUUUGAGUUGCAUGGUUCCUUAAUAACUCCCCUUUGACAAAUAUUCUGGUUAAAAUUUCUAUGAUCAUUAUAUUUACUUGGUUGUUUAGUAUCGCAUUUUUAUACUGAAUUAUUUCAACCAUGUUUUCAAAUGGACAGCUCUCAAAAUUUUUUAAGUACAUUUAAGUGAAACUUGGAAUGUGCAUAAGUUGUGAGAUCAUGUGAACUCUGCACUUCACAGACUUGAUAAAGUCAAACCUUUAUCCAGGGGAUGCUUCCUCCACAAUACAUGUAAAUCUGAAUUUAAAAAUAUACCUAAGAAUAUGCAGAAACUGGAACUCUCAUACAUUGCCGGUGGGUCUAUGAAAUAACUCAGCCACUUUGAAAAACAGUUUGGCUAUUUCUGAAAAAGUUAAACUUACUACACGACCUAGCAAGUCCACUUCUGCGUAUGUACCCAAGAGAAAUGAAAACAUAGGUCCACACAGAAACUUGUACAGGAGUGUUCAUGAGGAGCAUCAUUCACAGUGGCCCAAAAAUGGAAACCACCCAAAUGUCUAUCAACUGAUGGAUAGGUAAACAAAGUGUAGUGUUUUCAUACAAUAGAAUACUAUUAGGCAAUAAAAAUGAAGGAAGUACUGAAUCAGGCUGCAGCAUGCAUGAACCUCAAAAUGUUAUGCUAAGUGAAAGAAGCCAGACACAAUGAUUGCAUAUUGUAUGAUUCUGUAUAUAUGAAAUGUCUAGAAAAUGCAAAUCUACGGAGGUAGAAAGUAGAUUACUGGUUGGCUAGGGUGGAGAGGAAAACAGGGAGUGCCUGUAAAUGGGCCGGAGGGAUCUUUUUGGGUGAUGAAAAUGCUUCAAUAUUGGAUGGUGGUAACCUGAGUGAAUUUUAUGGUAUGUAAGUACCUCAAUAAAGGUGUUAAAGUAUAA